UUGAACGCUGGCGGCAUGCCUUACACAUGCAAGUCGAACGGUAACAGGUCUUCGGAUGCUGACGAGUGGCGAACGGGUGAGUAAUACAUCGGAACGUGCCCGAUCGUGGGGGAUAACGAAGCGAAAGCUUUGCUAAUACCGCAUAAGAUCUACGGAUGAAAGCAGGGGACCGCGAGGCCUUGCGCGAACGGAGCGGCCGAUGGCAGAUUAGGUAGUUGGUGGGAUAAAAGCUUACCAAGCCGACGAUCUGUAGCUGGUCUGAGAGGACGACCAGCCACACUGGGACUGAGACACGGCCCAGACUCCUACGGGAGGCAGCAGUGGGGAAUUUUGGACAAUGGGCGAAAGCCUGAUCCAGCCAUUCCGCGUGAGUGAAGAAGGCCUUCGGGUUGUAAAGCUCUUUCGGCAGGAACGAAAUGGUCACGGUUAAUAACCGUGACUUCUGACGGUACCUGAAGAAGAAGCACCGGCUAACUACGU
rnacentral:rRNA from 1 species